UGUGCCUCUAGAGGCACUGCAAGUACAGCUGCUGUGCUAUAUGUGUGCCAGUAGGUGGCAGAGAGGAGAGAUGCUAUGUCUAAGCUCAGUGUCUGACCUGGGAAUGGCUGAAUGAUUAGUAGCCUAACAUU
rnacentral:snoRNA from 1 species